CAAACUCUGCAUAAAACCUCACCCUAAUCUCUCUUAUACUGACACACUUGGAGCAACACAUAUGCCCUUCACCCCCAAGUUGACCUUGUCCAGCUCAGUGCAUUGGUUGGCUGUGAUCUUGAGUAAAUUCCUUAAUGUCUACUCCUGUUUUCUCAUUUGUAAAAAUCAAGAUAGUAAUAAUAGUUCCCAUCUCAUAACCCUUUUAUUGUGAAAACUGAGUAAGAUAAGCCAUGUUAUAUGCUGAUACAGUGCCUAGCAAUAGUGAAUGCCUCCAAAACUUUAGCUGUUACAUCAUCUCAUCACCAUCAUCAUUAGUGUGAAAACUUCCUGACCCCUCAAGAGGGGAUGAGGCGCUGUAUGCAUUUCCAGUACAAGUAUUCCACCUUUUAUAACAUCUAUCAUGGUUUACUACACAUUGUCACCUUUACCUUUCUGCUUCUUGACUAAAUCUUAAACUAAACUCUCUAGUUGGAGGUUUGGCAGUUGUAUCCCCAAACUAGAGUGCCCUGGAUGGCACAGAAUGUUGUAGCUAUGCAACUCACCAAUUUUGCUGGUCCCUGUGAUCAGAAUUUACGCUGAGAAUUGCUGCCCGUUCUGAAAGCAUCAGUGUUUAAGUUGUUGUAACAUUUCUUCUGAAUCAGACCAGACUUUCACUUCAGAACAAUAAGUAACAAUUCCUUCUAAGAAAUCUCGGCUCACUGCAACCUCCGCCUCCUGGGCUCAAGCGAUUCUUCUGCCUCAGCCUCCUGCGUAGCUGGGAUUACAGGUGCAUGCCACAACCACCUGGCUAAUUUUUGUAUUUUUUAGUAGAGACGGGGUUUCACCAUAUUGGCCAGGCUGUUCUCGAACUCUUGACCUCCGGUAAUCUGCCCGCCUCGGCCUCCCAAAAUGCUGGGAUUACAGGCAUGAGCCACCGCACCCGGCCAUAGAUUUUUUAGUGAGUUAGAAAUGAAUGUAAAUUUCCUUUUAUAGGAGUUAGACAUUUAUUUUUAACAAUUAACCACUGAAUUCAUUUUCAGAAAUAGGCCUGAAUUGCUUGUUAAUUUCAUUACAGGAAGUAACUCUAAAAGCCAAUUCCACUUCCAAACUAUAAUUACCAUCAUCUGAAUUUAACAGGGAAAGACAUCUUCCAAGACUUCUUUUGGGCGGAUGCUUAGUUUUAGAAUAGCCAACUUUACCCUAACCCAUGUACAAGACAGUUCUCCAGGUGGCCUUGGACUGACCCAGUUCUCCCUUCUUCCUUGCUUGUAGUUCUUAAGAAUAACUGUAGAAUGCACUGGGAAUGCAAUAUCCUGAUAUGGAGGAACUGCCUGAAACAGGUUGGCCUUGUUGUUGUCCCUCCUAGGGAAUGUAACAUCUUGAUUUAGGGAACUGUUUGAGACAGCGAGGUUGUGUUCCUCUUUCCCCUGGAAGGAGGAUGUACUUUAAAGCUUUGCCCAAUGAGUUAUGUGGCUCCUAUGGUAUAUAACCCAAGGCAGGCUGUGGUGCAAGUGGGGCACGUACAAUCAAGACUCCAUCAGCCCCGCCCUGGGCAGCUUUCUUGAGCCCUGGGGGACUGGCUCACAAUGGAGCCAGGGCCUCUUUUGUCCCUUGCUUCCUGUCUGUAAGUAAUAAAUCUGCUUCAUGUAAUGUAUUGGGUGUGAGUGUGUUCUGUCACAAUGGAAUCAGACAGGUUGGUAACCAGUGUACACUGAACCUGCUUGGCACCAUGUAGCCCUGGGAAAGGAGAAAGGCGGUCACAGCUUGCCCUAUAUGGUGAUGCCAGCACACUGUGCACUGUACUGUGCAACAGAAAAAGGUGCACUGAGGAGGAUCGGCUGCUUCUUCCCAUUGUUGCUUCUUUAGUAAAUCCCCUAUGAGUUUUUAGUCGCUUUCUAAUCUACAAGUUAAAGGAUAUCUCAUUAAUUUUACAGAUAUAUACAUAUACUGUAACAAUAGGAAGGAAGUCUUUCACCAACCACUAAUACUGUAAAGAAAGCAUUGUAUCGAUCUAGUAUUAUUUAAUGAAGACGGACAGCAAUUUUAAUACAAUCUUCUUUUCCAAGACCUUUGACAGACCUUAGGCCCAUUUUCCACCUUUAUGUCUAGGAAAGUAUAAGUAAAACACUUUUGAGGGCAUAAAAAACACAAGCUUCUUGUUAAGGUGUAUCAGUAGCCAGGGAAAUCUGCUGUGCCCCUUUGAGGGUCAUCUAACUAAGGCAUGGAGAAAGAAACUGCCUCAAGUCAGUUUCUAUCACCUCUGCAGGGAAGCUGGCCAUGCAAACCAGGACAUGGUUCAAAGUGAAAAAGAGUGUGGUUAAUAAUCAUGCCAGAACACCAGGUAUAAGAUGUAAGGGCAAGUCAGGCAUUCUGUACAUUGCUUCUCCCUUCAGUUUGGAAAACUCACUGCAGUAGGGUUUUGACUUAUCGUUUCACAAGACAGCUAGGAAGGCCAGGCACAGUGGCUCACACCUGUAAUCCCAGCACUUUGGGAGGCCAAGACGGGUGGAUCACGAGGUCAGAUCGAGACCAUCCUGGUUAACACGGUGAAACCCUGUCUCUACUUAAAAUACAAAAAAUAGCCGGGUGUGGUGGCGGGCGCCUGUAGUCCCAGCUACUCAGGAGGCUGAGGCAGGAGAAUGGCGUGAACCCGGGAGGCGGAGCUUGCAGUGAGCCGAGAUCGCGCCACUGCACUCCAGCCCGGGUGACAGCGCGACUCUGUCUCAAAAAAAUAAAAAAAAUAAAAAAAAAUAAAAAACAAGACAGCUAGGAGGAAAGCCUGUAUGCUUUGGAAAAUGCAUAUCUUGUGUGUUUACCCUUUUAAAGGUAACUAUACUUUGAAACAGGUGAACUGCAGAAAGUUAACAAAGACUUCUUUUUUUACCAUGUUUACCUUUCUAAGAAUUCUAUGCAUUUCCUAGGGCAUACAUGCAAAAGCCUUCACAUUUCCCCCUUUUUAAAAGAGAUAUUUCUCAAACUUAUACGUAUACAGUUCAGUAGUGUUAAGUACAAUCACACUUGUUUUGCAACAGAUCUCUAGAAUUCUUGCAACACAAGCUCUGUACCCACUAAAUACAAAUUCACCCUCUCCCCUUCCCCCAACCGUUGCUUGGCAACCACCUUUCUACUUUCUAUUGUAUGAUUUUGACUACUUUGCAUACUUCACAUGGAGGAAUCAUAUAGCAUUUGUUCUUUUGUUGGCUGGCUUAUUUCACUUGGCAUAAUGCCUUCAAGGUUCAUCCACAUUGUACAUUUGACAGGAUUUCCUUCUUUUUAAAGGCUGAAUAAUAUUCCAUUGACUGUAUAUACCACAUUUCCUUUAUCUAUUCAUCUGUUGAUGGACAUUUGGGAUGCUUCCAGAACCUCUUGGCUAUUGUGAAUAAUGCUGCUAUGAACAUGGGUGUACAAAUAUCUCUUUGAGAUCCCGCUUUGGUGGUAAUUCUUAUGGUAAUUCUGUUUUCAGUUAUUUGGGAAACCUGUGUACUGUUUUCCGUAAUGACUGCACCGUUUUACAUUACCACCAACAGUGCACAAGGGUUUCAACUUCUCUGCAUCCUCCCCAAUACUUGUUAUUUUUUUGUUCUUCUGAUAGUGGCCAUCAUGAUGGGCGUGAGACGAUAUCUCAUUGUGGUUUUGAUUUGCAUUUCCCUAAUAAUUGGCAAUGUUGAGCAUAUUUUCAUGUUCUUAUUGGCCAAUUGUAUAACUUCUUUGGAGAAAUGUCUGUGCAAGUCCUUUGCCCAUUUUUAAAAAUUGAGUUAUUUGGUUUUUUGUUGUUGAGUUGUAGAAGUUCCUCAUAUAUUCUGGAUUUGGGCUCCUUAUAAGAUAGACGAUUUGCAAUUAUUUUCUCUCAUUCUAGAGCUUGCGUUUUCACUUUGUUGAUUGCUUCCUUUGACACACAGACAUUUUUAAGUUUGAUGUAGUCCCGUUUCCUUCCUAACGAUCUUUAAGUGUACAGUUCAGUAGUGUUAAGUAUAUUCAUCCAACCCUAUCUUGCAGACCAGAUGACAAACAUAUUAAUGAAAGAAAUACUACCAGUCAUUGACGCAACAGAGUCUGAACAUAGGCUUAGAGGCAUUCAGAAACAUUCCAAGAUAUUUAUAAGCAAGAGCCACAGGAGCAUGAAUUCCUCAGAAUAUGUAGAAUUAUCUAGAUUUUAGCCUAUCUGACAAGUUUCUCUCCCUAUUACCAUAACAAAAGUCUUUUAAACCACUGUAUAAACUGAGAUAUUUAAGUUAAUCACCUGCCUUGCAAAGAACCUUGACUAAUGAGUAAAUAAAGUUCAGACAGUUGUAAAGGGAAGACGGGAUAGCUCUUUCACUGUAGAAAACAUUAUCAUUAUAUACUAUGUAACAGCGUGCAAAUAAUACAAAAUAAUAAUAUAAACUAUAGGCUAUUAGAUUACUAGUCCUUUGAAAAAUAUUUCUGGAAGGCCGGGCACGGCAUUUUCUUUAAAAUGUUCUGCAUAUAUUUCCUAUAUGAUCAGACCUUUAAGCAAAAUAUCUGAUCUUCGGAAAUGCAAAGGGAUUUCUGGGUAUAGGAAAAGUCUUGUUUUCUUAUAAUUACAAAAUAUAUUUUCUACAUCAUAAACUGAUAGUAAGUAAGCAUAUCAUGUCCUUGUAACAACUAAACACUGGGGCAAAUAUACUGACUGAUAAGCCCUUAUGAAAGAAUACACAUUCAUGUUAUAAAAUAAAAUACAUCUAAAACCAUGGCCAAUAUUCAGCCAGGAAGUACCAGUCUGGGCCCAUAGGCUGUUUCUGCAAGGCCUGAGUUCUGGUCAGUGUCUGUGCCUUACCACAUGUUAAAAAUUUUGAUUAUAAUCCCUAUGUAUAGUGCUAUAGAACCACUAAUGGAUAAACAUAAAAAGAUAGCUCAAAAAUGUCAGACAUAAAAAGAUAUUACAAGCUGGGCCAGGCGGCCAGCACCUGUAGCCCCAGCUACUCUAGAGGCUAAGGCAGGAGGACUGCUUGAGCCUAGGAGUUCAAGGCUGCAGUGAGCUAUCAUUUGGCCACUGCACUCUAGCCUGGGCAGCAGAGCAAGACCUAGUCUCUUAAAGAAAAAAAAAAGGCAUUACAAUUACCAACAGGUAUCUGUAAGAGAAACUUGUGUCUCUUGCUGGUACCGAAUAGCCUUCCUCAAAGACUGAUGAAGCACUCUCAUGCUAAGAAAUGCACAUCUGUAAAUAUUAUCAAAUGCAGGCACUUAGAAUAGUCUAGUUAACAAUUUAUAGUAAGCUAGUAUAUAUUAAAGCAAAAGCAAAAUACUGCCUAGAUAUGAAUGUUUUAGGGGGUUGCUUGGCUGGUGGCCGGCUUGGGUUUCGCUUGUACAUUCAGCACAUAAUCAUGCCGGAAGGAUGAACGAACAGUGCGAUUCAUCAGUGGCUGAAGGGGGCGGAAGUUGUCCACCAUUCUUUUCUCUUUCUCCCCUUCGGAAGUGAAA
rnacentral:lncRNA from 1 species